GGCUCGUUAGCUCAGUGGUCAGAGCGCCGUACUGAAUUUGAUCACCUCGGAGGUCGUAGGUUCGAUCCCUACAUGAGCCC
rnacentral:tRNA from 1 species